GCUCAGUUGGUUAAGUGUCCAACUCUUGAUUUCAGCUCAGAUCGUGAUCUCAGCAUCGUGGGUUCAAGUCCCGCAUUGGGCU
rnacentral:tRNA from 1 species